rnacentral:rRNA from 1 species
AUGAUACGCGAGGAACCGUUACCUGGGCUCGAACGUAAGAUGACUGUAGGUGAAAGCUUACAUCUCUUCGGAGCAUUUUACGAGGUGCUGCAUGGUUGUCGUCAGCUCGUGCCGUGAGGUGUCGGGUUAAGUCCCAUAACGAGCGCAACCCCUACCUUUAGUUGCCAUCAGGUUAAGCUGGGGACUCUAAAGGAACUGCCUACGCAAGUAGUGAGGAAGGCGGGGAUGACGUCAAAUCAGCACGGCCCUUACGUCCAGGGCUACACACGUGCUACAAUGGCCGAUACAGAGGGCAGCUACCUGGUGACAGGAUGCAAAUCUCCAAAGUCGGUCUCAGUUCGGAUCGGAGUCUGCAACCCGACUCCGUGAAGUUGGAUUCGCUAGUAAUCGCGCAUCAGCCAUGGCGCGGUGAAUACGUUCCCGGGCCUU